UACGGAGGGUGCGAGCGUUAAUCGGAAUGACUGGGCGUAAAGGGCAUGUAGGCGGAUGAUUAAGUUAGGUGUGAAAGCCCUGGGCUCAACCUGGGAAUUGCACUUAAAACUGGUUAUCUAGAGUUCUGUAGAGGGAGGUAGAAUUCCACGUGUAGCGGUGAAAUGCGUAGAGAUGUGGAGGAAUACCGGUGGCGAAGGCGGCCUUCUGGACAGAAACUGACGCUGAGAUGCGAAAGCGUGGGGAGCAAAC
rnacentral:rRNA from 1 species